rnacentral:rRNA from 1 species
GAGUUUGAUCGUGGCUCAGGAUGAACGCUGGCGGCGUGCCUAACACAUGCAAGUCGAGCGAAGCACUUUAAUUUGAUUCUUCGGGAUGAAGGUUUUUGUGACUGAGCGGCGGACGGGUGAGUAACGCGUGGGCAACCUGCCUUACACAGGGGGAUAACAGUUAGAAAUGACUGCUAAUACCGCAUAAGACCACAGUACUGCAUGGUGCAGUGGUAAAAAACUCCGGUGGUGUAAGAUGGGCCCGCGUCUGAUUAGGUAGUUGGCAGGGUAACGGCCCACCAAGCCGACGAUCAGUAGCCGACCUGAGAGGGUGACCGGCCACAUUGGGACUGAGACACGGGCCCAGACUCCUACGGGAGGCAGCAGUGGGGAAUAUUGCACAAUGGGGGAAACCCUGAUGCAGCGACGCCGCGUGAGCGAUGAAGUAUUUCGGUAUGUAAAGCUCUAUCAGCAGGGAAGAAAAUGACGGUACCUGACUAAG